CUAACACAUGCAAGUCGAGCGGUAGCGGGCCUGACCACUCUCGAGUGGUUCAGGCGCCGACGAGCGGCGGACGGGUGCGUAACACGUAGGAAUCUGCCCGGUAGUGGGGGAUAGCCCGGAGAAAUUCGGAUUAAUACCGCAUACGCCCUAUGGGGGAAAGCAGGGGAUCCGUUCUUUUAGGAGAGUGGACCUUGCGCUAUCGGAUGAGCCUGCGUCGGAUUAGCUAGUUGGUGGGGUAAAGGCCUACCAAGGCGACGAUCCGUAGCUGGUCUGAGAGGAUGAUCAGCCACACUGGGACUGAGACACGGCCCAGACUCCUACGGGAGGCAGCAGUGGGGAAUAUUGCACAAUGGGCGAAAGCCUGAUGCAGCCAUGCCGCGUGUGUGAAGAAGGCCCUAGGGUUGUAAAGCACUUUCAGUGGGGAGGAAAGGUCGAAGGUUAAUACCCUUUGGCUGUGACGUUACCCACAGAAGAAGCACCGGCUAACUCCGUGCCAGCAGCCGCGGUAAUACG
rnacentral:rRNA from 1 species